rnacentral:lncRNA from 1 species
AAUAUAUUGUGCAUACCUAACACAGUUUAUGUUAUCUUAAGUUAUAUGAACGUUAAAUUCGAUGUUGAAGGAUGUUUUUAUCGAUUACCAUCGUAAUUUUUUUUUUUUUCCUUUUUUUCUUCGUGUGCAACUCAGCAGCCAUUCUGGUUUGUCUCGCGAUUGUUUUUAAUAAUUUUUCGUCAUUGACCUUGCUAGGAAGCAUUCGUUUUGGAUUAUCUGCAAGUAAUCGCGUACGAGAUAACCACGUCACGGGAGUGUUUUGUACUCUUUUUUUUUUUUUUCGUAGCUGAAACCUUGACAUCUAGAAACCUCCGACCUUGAUGACGCUGAAAACAUCUUCAAUUACUUCGGUUUCUCGUCGUGUUUUCUUUGUCUCGUUUUUCCUUUAUCUUCUAUUUAUUGUUUUGCAUCAAAUGCGUCGUUUAGGUGGAAAAAAAAGACCACUUUCUGUACAUAAUAACCGCACUUUCGGCUCUUUUUUUUUUUUUUCUAAACUAAAAUUGGAAAUGUGCCAAACGUCUAUUAUGGCAAUUCGCGAAUCCAUCGAUGUGACUUCUUCUUCUUCUUUGAUAGAAGUUUUUCUCCAUUUUUUUUUAAUUUCUAGAACGAAAAUGCGGAAUUGGUUUUCAAAUUACUUGUAGAAAUAAGCGCGAUGAAUUAUUUACUAGCAAAAUUUUGCGGAUUUUUCCGGAAGAUGCACGAUUAUCAUCUCGCAAUGUUUUAAGUAGGCAUUUAAUUUUUGGAUUUCUACUUUCUCUCGGCUUCACUGUGUGUGUAAGCGAGCUUCUGUAACGCUUUAGCCACAAAUUAGAUGCUAGGGGAAGGGGAAAAAAAAGGAAGGAAAACAAUUGAUGUAGACGUGUCUGACGGACCACCU